rnacentral:rRNA from 1 species
AUGCACGCUGGCGGCGUGCCUAAUACAUGCAAGUCGAGCGAACAGACGAGGAGCUUGCUCCUCUGACGUUAGCGGCGGACGGGUGAGUAACACGUGGAUAACCUACCUAUGAGACUGGGAUAACUUCGGGAAACCGGAGCUAAUACCGGAUAAUAUAUUGAACCGCAUGGUUCAAUAGUGAAAGACGGUUUUGCUGUCACUUAUAGAUGGAUCCGCGCCGCAUUAGCUAGUUGGUAAGGUAACGGCUUACCAAGGCAACGAUGCGUAGCCGACCUGAGAGGGUGAUCGGCCACACUGGAACUGAGACACGGUCCAGACUCCUACGGGAGGCAGCAGUAGGGAAUCUUCCGCAAUGGGCGAAAGCCUGACGGAGCAACGCCGCGUGAGUGAUGAAGGUCUUCGGAUCGUAAAACUCUGUUAUUAGGGAAGAACAAAUGUGUAAGUAACUAUGCACGUCUUGACGGUACCUAAUCAGAAAGCCACGGCUAACUACGUG